GACGAACGCUGGCGGCGUGCUUAACACAUGCAAGUCGAACGGAAAGGCCUUUUCGGAGGUACUCGAGUAGCGAACGGGUGAGUAACACGUGGGUGAUCUGCCCUGCACUCUGGGAUAAGCCUGGGAAACUGGGUCUAAUACCGGAUAGGACCGCACUUUAGUGUGUGUGGUGGAAAGUUUUUUCGGUGUAGGAUGAGCCCGCGGCCUAUCAGCUUGUUGGUGGGGUAAUGGCCUACCAAGGCGGCGACGGGCAGCCGGACUGAGAGGUUGGUCGGCCACAUUGGGACUGAGAUACGGCCCAGACUCCUACGGGAGGCAGCAGUGGGGAAUAUUGAACAAUGGGCGCAAGCCUGAUGCAGCGACGCCGCGGGGGGGAUGACGGCCUUCGGGUUGUAAACUCCUUUCGCCAGGGACGAAGCGUUUUGUGACGGUACCUGGAGAAGAAGCACCGGCUAACUACGUG
rnacentral:rRNA from 1 species